rnacentral:rRNA from 1 species
UACGGGGGGGGCAAGCGUUGUUCGGAAUUACUGGGCGUAAAGGGCUCGUAGGCGGCCAACUAAGUCGGACGUGAAGUCCCCAGGCUCAACCUGGGAACUGCGUCCGAUACUGGAUGGCUUGAAUCCGGGAGAGGGAUGCAGAAUUCCAGGUGUAGCGGUGAAAUGCGUAGAUAUCUGGAGGAACACCGGUGGCGAAGGCGGCAUCCUGGACCGGUAUUGACGCUGAGGCGCGAAAGCCAGGGGAGCAAACGGG